AAUCUUCCGCAAUGGACGAAAGUCUGACGGAGCAACGCCGCGUGAGGGAUGAAGGUGUCCGGAUCGUAAAAAUCUGUUGUUAGGGAAGAACAAGUAUCGGAGUCACUGACGGUACCUUGACGGUACCUGACGAGAAAUCCACGGCUAACUACGUCCCAGCAGCCGCGGCAAUACGUAGGUGGCUAGCGUUGUCCGGAUUUAUUGGGCGUAAAGCGCGCGCCAGCGGUUUUUUAAGUCUGAUGUGAAAGCUUACAGCUUAACUGUAAGCGGUCAUUGGAAUCUGGGAGACUUGAGUGAAGAAGAGGAGAGUGGAAUUCCAUGUGUAGCGGUGAAAUGCAUAGAGAUAUGGAGGAACACCAGUGGCGAAGGCGACUCUCUGGUCUGUAACUGACGCUGAGGCGCGAAAGCGUGGGGAUCAAACA
rnacentral:rRNA from 1 species